GGCAAUGCAAAACUAGUCCAUACAGUUUGUGCACUAUAUUCCAAGUCAUUAACAUCAUAUGAUAUUUCUCCUUUUAUUCCACAUAAGAAAGAAAAGUAUAUAGGAAUGAAUGUGAGUAAAUGAUGACUGAAUUUUCAUUUUUGGGUGAGCUAGUCCUUUAAAACGAAUGCAUUAGUGAGAGAAUAGACUAAACAUCUGGGAAGCCAAUAUUUGUGGUUCACUGAGAUUCUCUCAGACCAAAAUGUUUUGAAAUUCAACUCCCUAGAAAAUAUGCUGGAAUGCAAUGGGAAGAAGAGAAAGCAAAGUCAAGCAGCGGUACAGUUAAUGUUACAGUAGAGUAGACUGGCACGCCGGGCGCAGCUCAGUUGAUCUUUAAGACAGUUACUAUGAAUAUAACAUCUACUGCUGUGAAGAGAGGAGAACCAGAAGAAGACCAGAAAAUCCGGUUCGCAGAAGUGUGGAGUCCCUCCCAAUGCAUCUUUCUCAGUUUUGCAGACUAGAAACGUGAGACUGAUUCCAUUGAUGCAAGAAGCCUUCAGGCCUGAAAUUAGAGUUUGACAGAGUUUGACAUGGAAGCUUUCAAGCCAACAUACUUGUACCGAGAGUGUUUUACUUCUGUUUAAUGUUCACUAUUUAC
ensembl:lncRNA